GCAUAUCAAUAAGCGGAGGAAAAGAAACUAACAAGGAUUCCCCUAGUAACUGCGAGUGAAGCGGGAAAAGCUCAAAUUUAAAAUCUGGUAGUCUCUGGCUGCCCGAGUUGUAAUCUGGAGAAGUGUUUUCUGUGCUGGGCCGUGUACAAGUCUCUUGGAAUAGAGCGUCAUAGAGGGUGAGAAUCCCGUCUUUGACACGGACAUCCAGUGCUCUGUGAUGCACUCUCAAAGAGUCGAGUUGUUUGGGAAUGCUGCUCAAAAUGGGUGGUAAAUUCCAUCUAAAGCUAAAUAUUGGCAAGAGACCGAUAGCGAACAAGUACCGUGAGGGAAAGAUGAAAAGAACUUUGAAAAGAGAG
rnacentral:rRNA from 1 species